rnacentral:rRNA from 1 species
UGGGGAAUUUUGGACAAUGGGCGCAAGCCUGAUCCAGCCAUACCGCGUGAGUGAAGAAGGCCUUCGGGUUGUAAAGCUCUUUCAGACGGAAAGAAACGGUCGCGGCUAAUACCCGCGACUAAUGACGGUACCGUAAGAAGAAGCACCGGCUAACUACGUGCCAGCAGCCGCGGUAAUACGUAGGGUGCGAGCGUUAAUCGGAAUUACUGGGCGUAAAGCGCGCGCAGGCGGUUUGGUAAGACAGAUGUGAAAUCCCCGGGCUUAACCUGGGAACUGCAUUUGUGACUGCCAGACUAGAGUGUAGCAGAGGGGGGUAGAAUUCCACGUGUAGCAGUGAAAUGCGUAGAUAUGUGGAGGAAUACCGAUGGCGAAGGCGGCUAACUGGUCCGGUACUGACGCUGAGGUGCGAAAGCGUGGGGAGCAAACAGGAUUAGAUACCCAGGUAGUCCCUGAGCGGGCUGGCAAGGCGCAU